rnacentral:rRNA from 1 species
UACGUAGGGUGCAAGCGUUGUCCGGAAUUAUUGGGCGUAAAGAGCUCGUAGGCGGUUCGUCGCGUCGGCUGUGAAAACCCGGAGCUCAACUCCGGGCCUGCAGUCGAUACGGGCGGACUUGAGUGUUGCAGGGGAGACUGGAAUUCCUGGUGUAGCGGUGAAAUGCGCAGAUAUCAGGAAGAACACCCGUGGCGAAAGCGGCUCUCUGGAACGGUACUGACGCUGAGACGCGAAAGCGUGGGGAGCGAACAGG